UUUUUAUUUUUAUUUUUGGUAAUAUUUUGAAGCGUCCAGCUCUGGUAUUUAAAAUGAGAAUUCUGACUGCCUUGUAUUAAUAUCCUCUCAGAUUGAGAGGAAUCAUAAUCGAACUGUAGAACUUCUUUAGUUCCUAGUUUUUAUUUUGAUUUUAAUUAAAAUGAACAGUUGAUUUUUUUUAUACUUAAUUUCGACUUGGAAAUAAAUAAAAUUGAAUAAUUUAAUUUCAAUUUGAUUAGAAAAAAGUAAUAUCAAUUUAAUUAUACUUAAUUUUGAAUUACUCGAAUAUAGUUAAAAAUUUCAAAUCGUACAGUGAUCAGACACGAGCACAUCGGCACGUGACGUGGGGGCUUUCAAUGGAUCAAAUUACUCAUCAUUAAAACCUCAACAACUCAUUGCUCCUUUUAUAAAUAAUAGAUAAAACUUAAGUUGGGUUACAUUUUAAAAUUUUUAAGGAAUUAAAUUUGAGUUUUUCAAAAUGUUUUGGAUUCCAUUUCUUUACGCCAAAAUAUUUAGUAUUAUUAUUAUUUUAAGCGUUAUUAAAAAUUUUAAAUAUAUUACUUAUUAAGUAUUAGAAAUUAAUUUAUAUUUAAAUUAAAUAGUUUAAUUAUAAUAUUAAAAUAAUAAACUAUUUAUAGAAUUGUUUUUCAAUAAUAUUUAUAAUGAUUUUCUCCUCUAAAAUCAAUGCUAAAUCACAAAGAAGACAGCCUAGAGAUUAUUAUAUUAUUUUUUUUAUCAAAAUUUACAUUGAAAGGCCCAUUGAACUAAAUACAGGUACAAGGCAAGUUUAUCUACAAAUUUAGAAAAAGCCCAAAACAAAUCCAAUAGAAUACCCAACCCAGACAUAUAAGCUCAGUAACGACUCAAUCCUGAAAAUGGCACCGCUCAAAAAUGAAACUCGAAUUUCCACCGCCACUUGCCACAUCCGGCGAAACUUAACACAAAAAUUCAUUAAACAUUCGAGCACAAAAGCAUGCAAAAAUCAAGGAUAAAACACCAACGCCUAUUUCAUGGACUCAUCUUAUGAAAGACAUACUCAAAACAGAGACUUGUAAACUGAUGGAAUAAAAACAUAAAAUAGUGGAAAUUCAAUCAAUCACAACCUAGUAAAGAAAUGAAAUACGAAAUUCCACAUCACUUAAUCUUUUGAAAGAGAGUUCGACCCAAUGGACACCAUAAUCCAGAAAGAGAAGAUGUGACAAAGCUCAGAGCUCAGUCUCAUUGAAACCAUUGAAAGCGUUGAUCACCGGACACAUCGGUGCGAUUUCGAGAUGCCAAUGUCAAAGUCAAGAUAUCCUCUUUCGAGCAAAAAGUAAAACGUUCCAAAAAAUAAAUAAAUCCAAACUAUUAGAACUAAAAAACUAGAUCAACAAGCACAAAACAAAACUAAACCACAUCAAAACUAUACAUAGUCAGAUGGAGAGAAGGUAGUGAAGCUGAAAUUCCCUUAUCAAUGGCCAACGAAACCCUUACCAAACAACUUUUAGAAUUCUCUUUCUCACUUUAAAUUAUUUUACGAUAAUGUGAAAUUUUACACAUUUAUUCAUAUAGUUUUGGAACUACACUCACCUAUUUUUAUUAGCUUUAUUAGAGUUUUUAUAUUUAAACUAUGAUUUUUAAUUUUAGUAUAUUAUUUGAUGUUUUUACUUCAUUUAUAAUGUUUUUACUGGUCAAAAUAAGUUAAGGAAUGAAUGAGACACUUUGAAAAGAAAUUUAAGACAAUUUGGAGGGAUUCUAAAGAAACAGAUAAACACGGAGUUACCCCGUAUUUUUGUCUCUACCCAUGUUUUUACACUUUGCCCCGUGUUUCUCUCUGGACUAAAAAUUUUUGAGGUAUAAUCAUUCAAUAAACAAUAUAGAAUAGACCCGUAUUUUCAUGGUUAUUCUUUGUUUCGUUCUCUUUUCACGUGCUUUGCCUCAUAUUUUUAUCAGAAAUUCUAUUUUUUUUUUUUAUUUUUCAUUAGGGGCACAAAUUAAAAGUCUAAAUAGAGUAUAAAUAUAUUAUAAUUGAGAAAUUAAAAGAUUUUUUAUCCACUUUUAAACUCACAUACAUAGAGAAAAUCGCGAAAAACUCAAGAAGCAAGAUUUGAAAGAUAUGAAAAGAAAAAUCCAUACAUUUAGAGUUUUUCUUUUUUCUCUUAUUUUUUUUGACUUGUUGUUCACGAUUAUUUUAGGAUGACUUUGGAUAACUUUUUAAUAGAAUUUAUAGUUAGAAUUAUUGAACAUGAUCGGUUAGGGGAUUUGAUGUAACUUGGAUUAUUUAUUCUCUUUAAUUUAUUUGAGUUAAUUUUUUUUAUUAAUCUAUUAUUCAAUUAUUGAUAUUAAUACUUUUGAGUACUCAUAAGAAUACUUAAUGAUUUUAUCUUAAAAUUAAUAUUAAAAGAAAAUAUUUUAAGACUGAAUUAGAAAUUGAAUAUCACAAAAAUAUUAAUUAAAUUGGAAAUGAAGAUUUGAACCGUAGAGUUUUAAACAAAAUAAUCAUAGUAUUUAUAAAAUUAAUUAGAGAAUUAUCAGAUUAUUGGAAGAUAUAUGAUAAUUUUUAAUUAAUUAAUUGAUCUUACUCGAAAGAAAUGGUCAACUACUUUAGAUUAUGUGCUCUAAAUUUGAUAAUUAAAAUAUAAUUGUGAACCAAAUAAAUUAAUUGAAUCAGAUUAAAGUGAAAUUAAAAUACCUAAUAUUUUAUAUUAAUUAUUUCAUAAAUUUUAUCCUGUCGAGUAUUUAAUUUUAUUUUUUAUUUUAUUUUAAAUUUAUAAUUAUUUUGAUAAUUAAUAGUCUAAAUAAUAAUUAAAUUUAUAUAUAUUUCAAUACUUAAUUGACAAUUCCUAUUUUCUUUUUACUCUCUUUUUAUUACGGAAAAUAAUUCCGUACACUUAUAAUUAUCAUAUUUUUCUACACGGUUGUAGAUAUUGCACAAUAUACAACACUGUAAUUUUACUUUAUUCAUAUUUAUUUAUUUUUACUCAAGAUAAUAGAAAGUUAUAUAAAUUUCCUGAAAAUUAUUUUUUACUAAAAAGAAAAAACAAAAUCAUUAUGAAAAAUUUUAAAAUACAUUUAAAUUAUGCAUACUUUUGCUAGAAAAAGGUAGAAAUCUGGUGAAAUAAUCCAAGUGGAGCACUGUAAGUUUAGAACUGUACACCCAGUAAUUUUUCAAUAUUGCGUUAGUGUAAUAAUAUAUUAUAAAAAAUUCCAAGAGAAGGAAGAUUUGAACGGGGGGGCACUGAGUGGCUCUUGUCUCUGUCGCUCUUCAGCUGUCUGCGUGCUCGCCGUUAAUCAAGCUGCGCACGCAAACAAAAGUCGUGGGGACAAAAGCAAGGCUCUAUUGGCUUCCUUCUUUAACUUUCAAAAUCAAACCAAUUCCAGGUAAAUACAAAAUUUAUUGGUUUUGAUUUUCCUUCCUCUAAAUCAAAACAGAUAUUGCAUUCAUCUACAAAUUGAAAAUAUUAGAUUCAUCUACCCUCUAAAGAAGGAAAAGAAAAUCCAACAGAAUGAGUAAAAUUUUCUAUAUAUGGGAUGCUAUAAUAAGAGGAAGAAACAGUAUAUACAUGAAAACAGAGGAAGCAGCCCAAGAGUUUAUGUUACGUGCUGGUGCAUUAAUCUGUUCAUGCAAGUCAAAUAUCUGCAACUCUAAGAAACGUCUUGGAAAGUCAAUCAUUGAAAUUUUGAUGAUUGAUUGCAUUUUUAUCAUAUCCAUUUCUCAUAGGAUUUUCACAUGUUGCAGCUUUUCUUAAUAAAUUCGACAAAUGGAUAUUUCAAAAAACCCAAAUUAAGGGUAAAAAAAUAGAAUAAGAUUAAAAAAAAGAACUAAGGACUUAUCGGUAAAUACAUGCACAGGUGAACCAAAUGAAGCAAUCCAAAUUAUCAACUUUAUGGCAAUAUUAAAAAUUAAAAAUAAAUUUCAGUGCAAAACGGGGCUUUGUUUUUCAGCCACUAGUUCUGGACAUGGAAGAAACCUCAAAAAAGAGUUGGAGUGGAAGGAUGAAAAAGUGGAGUGGACGUGAACUCGUCAUCUUUUGGUUUCGUCCUUUUAUUUAUUUAUUUUUUGUGCAAGGCUAUUGGGUCCUUUUGAAGGAAAAGCCCAAGAGACACAAAAUUCCGACCCCAUAUGUCAUGUGAGUGUAACUCAAGUGCGUUCAAGAUUGAAUUAGGGAGGUAAACGGGUAAUUGAGAGUAUUCAAAUUCGAAUUCGAUUAUAUACAAAAUUUUUGAAUUCAUCCCAAAUCCGUUUAGUAUUUUAAUUUUAUUAUCCGUACCCGUUUCAAAUCCGUUUAAUAAUUAUCCGUAUAAUGACCGAACCCGACCGAAUCCGAUUUUUUAAAAUUCAAUUCAAUGAAAAAAAUUUAAAAAUUUAAAUAUUAUAACCCAAAUAUCAAACCCUGAAUUAAAAAAUUUGCAUAACCUGAAUAUCAACUUCAAUUAUCUAUUCAACGUAAAACUAUUCCUAAGAUAUGCACAAUCCAGUAGUAGAAAUAUUGGAGAAAUGCCCAACAGUAGAAACAUUGGAGAACAAUAAUUAAACAACAAAUAUCCAAAUAAUCAAAUUAAUAGUUCAUAAAUUCUAAAAUUCUUUAAUAGCUUUAACAACAUAUAUAUAAAAGAUCUUGAUUAUCAAAAAAUUUGAUUGCAAACCUAAAGAGAAUUCCAGCCAAUUGUGGAGAGGCAAGAGUUAUCUCUUGUAGUUGUCAGUGAAGUGGGGCGUCAAUCGGAGAGUAGAUGUCAACGACUGAGGAGAGAGAAGGAGAUGUAGCCGAUGCCGACCGGGGAGAGGGAAGAAUUGUUUCCGACUGAGAAGUGGGAGAUGUGGCCACUUGAGAGAGAAGGAGAUAUCGACUGGAGAAAGAAAGUAGAUUCGAUUGGGUUGCCGGUACUCGUCAAUGAAGUGGAGGAGAGAGGCGUUAGACUGGAAAGUGGGACUGUGGGCCGACUGGAGAGAAGGGAGAAAAAGAUUUAUCGUCGCUAGAGAGAGAAAGGAGACGUUGCUGGUGUCCACCGGGCCUGCGCCGACAGUCGUCAGUGAAGUGGAGGAGAGAGGCCGAUUGAAAAUUAUAGGAAGGAAAGUAGGGAGAGAGGCACUGACGGAGAGAGGGAAGCGAAAAUGAAAAAAAGAAUUAAAAAUUAGGAUUAGGGUUAAUUUAGUUAUAUACUAAUCGAGUUCGGGUAACGAAUAUUCGAUUGUUUAAUUUUGAACCUUAUCAAAUCCAAAACGGAUAAAAUUUUUCAAAAUUGAAUCCAUUCAAAUCUAUUUUGUAAAAAUCUAAAUUCAUCCUAAUAGAGUUUAGACGGAUUGGAUACCCGUAAAAAUCCGCCCACCUGAAAUUCCUAUAUGGGAUACGAAUGUAAAGUCUAGUACUAUGAUUGGUUACAACAAUCAUCGUACCUUCGUAGCGCGUGAAGCUAAAAAUCAAGCUGCUUUUUUCUAGUAUAAAUAAUGAUGAGAUGGAAAGAGAAUCCAAAACAAGAAGAGAGAAGGAAAAAAAAAAACACAGGUAACCGCCCAAAGACAAAAGGCUUGAUAGAGAGAGAAAAUCAAAGGUCUGAUUUUUUUUAGAUAAAGUAGAAGAAUAAUUAAUUGCAUUAUUAGGAUAGCAGCCUAAUUAAAGAGUAAAGAAAUGAAGGUGAUGGUAAUAAGGAGAAAGAAACCUUCCUAUCUCUAUAGAAUUCUUCUAGAGAAAAGAGAAGAGGAAAGAUAGAAGUCAGAGAAGAGAAGAGAGACUGCUUUUUGGGUGUGUGUUCUAUAUCAAUUUCAACUCUUUACUGAGGUUUUUCAUUUUCUUUGCUUGAUGUUGAUGGGACUGCACUGAAUCUCUAUGUCCUUAUCCGUUUCAGCUUCAAAACCAUCAUCAGGUAGUUAUAGACAGAGAAAGUGGAAGUGGGUUUGUGUUUGAUUUUCGAUUCUGGAAAUGGAGACUCCGCCAGCGGAGGAGCUUCUGAGGAAGAUCCAGGAGCUGGAAGCAGGGCAAGAACACCUUAAGCAGGAGAUGUCUAAGCUUAAGCUCACUAGUGAUCCAAAAUCGGAGCAGCACUUGCAGCGCCGACCGCAUCAGUCUCACCAGCGCUCCCAUUCCAUAUCGCCACAAAGGACGGGACCUAGGAGGAGGGGAGGGGGCAGUGGGGUGGGGUCUGGUUUCGAGGCUGUUGCACCUUGGAAGAAGGGUUCGACUUCGUUUAGGCAUUCAUCCCCGUUGCAGAGAGAAAGCCGGAGCACGGGUAGUACUAAUGCCGCUAAAGAAGGAGCAAACUGCGGGCCAUCGGCUGUCAAGUUUACUGAUAAACAGUAUUUGAAUAUAUUGCAGUCUAUGGGGCAAGCUGUUCAUAUUUUUGAUCUUAGUUUCCGUAUCAUUUAUUGGUGAGUUGUUGAUUUAUACUGCAUAAUUUACCUUUUCGUUUCUUGUUUUGCAGGUUUCCGUAUCAUUUGUUCGUGGGUUUUAGUUUUUUUGUGUGAUUGGUUGGGGCGGGGAGAGGUGUUAUUAGGGAAUGUUUGGAUGGGUAAUUGUUAGUUAAUGUUGAAUGGAACUGUAGAUUGCCGCUGGUUGGCUGCUAUGGAUUGAGAUGAUGAAUUUUCUUUGUACAAGUGAGAAAGAUAAAGCUUUGACUUAAAGUUUCACCGUAAUUAGUGUUGAAUGCGUGGUACUGGUUUUGGCUUUAAUUAUGCGUAGAGAUUGGUUUUCAAUAUUAUUUUUGUAUGGAAUUUGGUGUAUUUAGUUUCUAUCCGAUUCUACAGGAACCGAUCUGCCGAAACCCUUUAUGGCUAUUCUGCGGCAGAGGCUCUUGGCCAGGAUGCCAUUGAGCUACUUGUAGAUCCUCGGGAUUUUCCAGUGGCAAAUGAUAUAGUGCAUCGUGUCACCAUGGGAGAGAGUUGGACAGGUCAGUUUCCAGUCAAGAACAGGAUGGGAGAGAGGUUUACAGCUGUUGCAACUAAUACUCCAUUCUUUGAUGAUGACGGUACUUUGGUUGGAAUUAUCUGUGUAUCGAGUGAUUCAAGGCCAUUUCAAGAAAUGAGGAUUCCAAUGGUAGAUUCAAAGAAUUCACAAGCAGAUUCAAGCUUUAGUCGGCCUAGAAGUAUGGUCACAACAAAACUUGGUCUUGAUUCUCAGCAGCCUCUGCAAGCAGCAAUUGCAUCUAAGAUAUCAAAUUUGGUUAGUCUGUUUGGUUCUUAUGUUAAUGUGAAUUUAAGUAAGUGAUGUGCACAGCUUGAUUAUAAUAAUCACCAAAACAGGCAUCCAAGGUGAGCAACAAAGUGAAGUCAAAAAUGCGGACAGAUAACAGCCUGGAUCGUGAAUAUGGAAGCAGUGAUAGUCAUCAAUCUGACCAUGGCUUCUCAGAUGCAGCUCUCUCUGACCAUAAGGAGGAUGCAAACUCUAGUGGAGCUAGCACACCCAGAGGAGAUAUGCAUCCAUCUCAUUUUGGUAUGUCUUCUCAUGUUGAGGAAAAGUCCCCUAUGAAACCCUCCAGAGAUUCUGGUGAUGAGGGUGAAGGAAAACCUGCAAUUCACAAGAUUAUUACCUCAAAAGCUGAGGCUUGGAUGGGCAAGAAAGGAUUUUCAUGGCCCUGGAAAGGAAAUGAAAGGGAAGGCUCAGAUGCAAAGACCCGUUUUAUGUGGCCCUGGUUGCAAAAUGAUCAAGAGAGUGAAACAAUUCAUUUGAGGAGUCCCACUUCAGGUGCAAAACCUGAAAGCCUGGCAAAUGAGGGUAAUCGGUCUACCUAUAAUGAGGCCUCUGGUUCGUGGUCCUCGGUCAAUGUUAACAGCACAAGCAGUGCCAGCAGCUGUGGAAGUACCAGCAGCAGUGCUAUUAAUAAGGUGGACAUGGAGACUGACUGCUUAGAUUAUGAAAUAUUGUGGGAAGACUUGAUAAUUGGAGAACCGAUUGGACAAGGUAAUAAUCUUUUGAUUAGAACUGUGGUUUUGGAGCAUAAAUGUAGGUUGGAAUUAUUAACUUAAAAGUGUACUUAGCUGAAGCCAUUUACCUGCAUUUGAUUCUUGCUGAAAUUCAAGUUUUUCAUCUGCACUGAAAAUUUGUUUUAUCUUAAUGAAAUUGGGGAAUUACAAAUAAACAUCUAAUGUUGAUUUCACUUAUUUUUGCGUAGGUUCCUCGUUUCUGAGUUCAGGUUGUGAUAUUUUGCUUGAUUGAUAUCCAUUCUGAUUUUUCUUUUGCUGUUGUAACCUCUGUUUAUGCAGGCUCUUGCGGGACUGUAUAUCAUGCCCUGUGGUAUGGAUCAGUAUGUUCUUUCCUCUUUCUCUUAACAACUUUAUUCCCAAGAUAAUGCAUAGACACUAUUUAUGUGGAGCCAGAUUGAGUAAUUUAAGAUCCGAUGCAGCCUUUUGGUUGCCAUCUAAUCAAAUAUAUGGUUUUUCAUCAGUAGAUUAUGUACACUUUGGACUUGAUGAAACUUGAACUGUGACUUGUGAGAAUAUAACAAGUCGCUAAUGUGAAUUCUGAACAGCCUAAUCAGUUCUCCGUGCAUGCUCAUAUUUGUUUAUGAAUGUUAUAUUUGGACUCUGCCCAAUUUUUCUUUUUACAUGUUGCAGUGCUGGCUUGGAUCUUAAUCAACCUCUAGUUGUCUUUUUUAUUAGAUGGAACAGGGAAAGAGGAGCAAAAAUAUUACGUUUAUGACAAUUAUCUGUGUUGGUUGAAGUGAAUAUCCAUUUUAUUUCAGGAUGUUGCUGUCAAGGUAUUCUCCAAGCAAGAAUAUUCAGAAGAUGUUAUACUUUCAUUUAGACAAGAGGUACAUAUCAUCCCCCCGCUGAAUAAAAAAAAAAAAGAAAAANNNNNNNNNNNNNNNNNNNNNNNNNNNNNNNNNNNNGAAAGAAAAAAAAAAAAACCCCUGCUAUUUCUUUUCUUAGUGUAGUUAAGCAAUAACCCCCACAUUAUUGUUUUAUUUCUAAAGGUGUCUCUUAUGAAAAGACUUCGACAUCCAAAUAUAUUGCUUUUCAUGGGUGCUGUCACUUCAUGUCAGCGUCUCUGCAUUGUUACAGAGUUCCUUCCACGGUAAUUCCAAACUUUAUUUCCCUAAACUGCAAUAGCAAGCCAUCUGUUUUAUGUUUCUCUUUUCCCAGCUGUAAGAAUUCUAAUAAUUACAAUAACAAUAAAUUUGGUAUACUGAUAUGCACAUCUCUUCUGUUUUUCCUAUUGCUGCAGUGGAAGUCUGUUUCGCUUACUCCAGAGAAACACAACCAAACUGGACUGGAGGCGACGUGUCCAUAUGGCAUCAGAUAUAGUGAGUUUCAGGAACUUUAUGGGAGAAAUUAUUUAUUUAUGUUGAGAAGACUACCGUGGGUUUGAUCUUGUAGCACCAUAUAUAGGCGUUUGCUGUUGUUGCCUCACUGCUUCCACUUUCGGCUAAUUUUUCCAGCUUUUUGGCUGAUGUACCGCAAUGCCUAAUUUUAUUUAUGCUGCAGGCACGGGGUAUGAAUUACCUUCAUCAUUGCAAUCCACCCAUCAUUCAUCGUGAUUUGAAGUCUUCAAAUCUUCUGGUUGAUAAGAACUGGACUGUAAAGGUCUGUCAUUAAUUACAAGUUUUCCUUUUCUAGUUUUAGUUCUUUGCUUGGAAAGUUCUGUAUUUUUAUCUGAAUGUUGUUUCACAGGUUGGUGAUUUUGGUCUAUCACGUCUAAAGCAUGAAACUUACCUGACAACUAAGACUGGCAAGGGAACGGUAUUUUUUUUUUUUUUCAGUUUCUUCAGUCUACUUGGUCUAAAUAAUUUCACAUGUUGCUGCUUAAAAUUUAUUUCAAAUACUCAGCCUAUCAAAUUCUUGUCCUGCAGCCUCAAUGGAUGGCGCCAGAAGUUCUACGUAAUGAACCCUCUGAUGAAAAGUAUGUACUCUUUGGAUUAAACAGUUAGAACUUUGAAUCCUGAUUAAAAGUGUAUAUCUAGGCCACCAACUUGAAGUUAAUGUGCCUGUCUUACUGCCUGGGAUCAUUUAGGUCCGAUGUAUACAGCUUUGGAGUGAUACUGUGGGAACUUGCAACUGAGAAGAUUCCUUGGGAUAAUCUCAACUCAAUGCAGGUGUGUAAUUUUCAUUUGAACAGUUUAUGAUGAUUUUUUUACAAAAGUAAAAAAUCAACCAUUGCGAUCAGACAUAAUCCUUCAGUAGUGUGCCAUUGUGGCAAAAACUGGAGUGGAUAGUACAAAUGCAUUAUCCAUUUGUCAAUUUCUUUAUAAAAAAAGGUGAAAUAGCUUGUCAGAUCACAUUACUUAUGAUCAAUAGUUUGUUUAACAUUUACAGGUGAUUGGAGCUGUAGGGUUCAUGAAUCAACGGUUAGAGAUCCCCAAAGACGUGGAUCCACAGUGGGCUUCUAUAAUUGAGAGUUGCUGGCACAGGUGCGUUCUCUCAUCACGAUGGUUGCUUGCUUUUGUUUGCAUUUUCUAGAGUAACAAAUCAACUGAAAGCAUUGAUAAAGACAACCCAGUUAUAAAAAGUGCUUAAUGGGUGUUCAGGAUGCUUACUGGACAUGCACUACACUAAAUUAAUUGUGGUGCAUAUGCACAAUAAAUUUGGUCUAUGGCUGUGUUAUUUUCAUAUUGUUUUGAUGAGUAUAAUUCCUUUUAUCUUUUUCUCUCUUUCUCUCUCUUUUUCCCUUAUUUUUUCCUACCUGACAUUGACAUGUGAAGAUUUUUUCUCAAUCAACAUAGAUGUGUACCCAUUAAAAUAUGAGUUAUGGUCUAGAUAUAGCCAAAUGGAGGUAGUUAUAUGGAAAAUUAAUCUAACCCAUAGUAAGCCGUUGAUCAUUUGCACUGUUGAGAGAUAUUUGAGGUUGAUUUUGUGAAUUUCUUUUAGUUGUAAUGGCUAUAAGCAAUGCACAGAUUAGGUCAGUACAGGUACUGAUUGAGACAUAAUUGUAUUCAAAGGUGAAAUUAAUUGUUUUAUCUUUGUCUCUUUCUUUUAUGGUUCUCUGCUUCUUAAAAAUAUUUAAGUUGAUAAAGCUUGCUAAUUUUUUUAAUUUGUAAUUCUGCUGAAACCAGUGAUCCUCAGUGUCGUCCAACAUUCCAAGAACUGCUGGAAAAGCUUAGAGAUAUGCAAAGACAAUACGCCAUUCAAUUUCAGGCAGCCCGUUCUGCAGCUGGAGAUAACACACAAAGGGAAUUGUAGUUCGCUUUUGCUUCUGGUUUUGUUUCGUCCACAUGGCUGCAGAAUGAAGCAACAUUUUUGCUUUUACUGGCAAUCACCAGUAAGAAAGUGGGCAACACAGAUAGCCAGCACUGGCAUAGAAAGCUCCACAGCAGGCAGACAAGGAAAGGAGAAAAGAAAAAGGAAGUAGUAGUUGGGAUACAAUACAUGUGAGGUGCUAAGCAUAAAGGUGAUUGGUUGAUUUUGAUAUUUGUUUAUUUGAUGACCACUAGAAUGGAUCUUCAAAAUCCAUCAUAAUCAUCAUCAGUUGUGGUGUGUGAUUGGAGUUAUGCUGGUUGGGUUAAUAUAAUAUUAAUACUAAAUCAGUAGUAUUUUUGUGAAAGAUGAUGCUUAGGACCACUUUGAAAAGUUUGUACAGAACACAACUUCAAUUCAUAAAAGUAGAGAGAUAUAUGUCUUGCUUAAAGCCAGAGUUGUUGGAUGUUCCAUUGUCGCCACUUGUUGGGUUUGAUACUUUAAAUUUUUGGCAUAUUCUAUCUUAAUUUCCAUAUGGGUAUUAUAAAAUAGGGAAAAAAAUUAUUCUGAUUUGAUUACAUUUAACAAUUGAUUUUUUUAAAAAAUUAAAUUUCAAAUGAUUUUGCACCAGACCAUGCCAUGCCGGGCUAGGCCAGGCCUAUUAAACAACACCUACUGGCCAUCCAAUGAUUUUAACUAUAAAAUCUUGAUGAUUUAAUCAGUUGUAUUACAUCUAUAAAAUAAAGAGAGAAACAAAAGGAUUGAAACAACCGGGUAAUUGGCUGAAAUUACUCCAGCGUCCGGCGUGAUUGGCAGAAAGUCUGGGUCACUCCUAAGGGGCCAGCAAAGCCACGGUCAGAGGCAUUCGCUAGGCUAUUAGUGAGCAUCGGUAUAACUACCAAAUAAGCUUGGCAGCUCCCUCUUAAACUCUACCUCCCGAUUCAAGAUGGAAAAAUUUUUUUGGACGUGGUGGACCAGGUGAGUUAAGAUCCUAAAAUUUUAAGGAUCAAAACUAUAAUUUUUUAACAGUAAAAAUUUCGAAAAAUAAUAUUAAAAUAAAUUAGUGUAAAAUAUUAGUUAGUUAAGGAUCAUGUCAAAUAUUUGAAAUUUCUUUUAGAUUAUUUAUUUAGAAAGUGUGUCAUUUGAGACAUAUUGAUAUUUUCUCCUGCCACAAACUAAGUUGUUUUUAAGAAAGUCUUAGGGGAGUGAUUAAUUGGCUACAAACGGAGGUAAGAAUUAUUAUAACGAUAGUAUCGAUGAUAAUAUGUAAUUACUAUUUUGCUCUCGAAAUAAAAUAAGUAGUCUGUUCAUGAAUUCUCAUGUUUAGUUCUUAUCUUUUGUGCCUACUGUCAGGCUUUUGAUUGAAUGUUACCUAUUGAUUUUGUUGUUCGCUUAUAUAACCUUGACUAAUCAGGUAUUCAUACUCACAGAAUAUCGGGUGAUUCUUAAAACUGAUUUGGUUUGAAAGUUUUCAAGUCGAGUAUCGCAUGGUCCCAAAUGAGUGUCAAAAUGCGGGCCCGUGACGAUUUAAGUUUGAAGAUAAAUCACUCACAUGUAUAACCUGAUAGUAAGUGCAUUUGAGUAUAUCGGAAAGAUCUCAAAUUCCACUCCCCAAUCUCUAAAUCCCCAUUUAAAAAAAAAAAAAAAAGUUAAAUCACAAUGUUUGAUUCAUCACAAUGGUAUUCAAGCGAAGAAGGUGUUGAAUAGCAGCAACAGCAUCACCUUUGUGUUCCCUCAAAGUUCUCUCUGCCACCUUCUUGUCCAACUGUUUUGCACAUCAAUGAAAGGAAACUGUUAGUUGCCACACCAUGAAAUUAAAACAUGUUCAUAAGCAUUGAAAACUAACCUCUAGUUCAUUGGCUAUUAUGUCAACAUCAGCGGCAUUGAUUUUAACAGCAGCCAAUUAUUUCUCUGUGUGAAUGACAACAUUUGCAUGAAAAACAAUGGGCAACAUCGAAAAUAGUUGAGAUAAAUCAGACCUUCCAAAACAGAUACAUCAAUUAAAAUUCAAUGUUUCAAAUUUGAGGGAGAGGGGAGCAAUUGGUACCUCAUUCUCAUAACAUUCCCAUCGGCUUCUGCAGAAGCAGCAAUGGAUGCCAUAGCCUACUCAUAUCAAACCAUAAUCCAGAAAGUCAAGAAAAAGCACACAACAAAAGAAAUUCCAAUCCCUGCACAAUUCAGCUAGUUUUGGAUGAAAUGAAUAUGGAAUUUAUUAACCAUAAAAUUUAUUUUCAACUUGUUAGCCAGUUAGUUUAGAAUUCAUUUGCAAAAUCUAAAAUUUUGAUGGCAACCGAAUAAUUAAAAUGUUAAUCCAAAUUCUUUUCUUCCUCAACACGCAUUGCCUAUUACACCUUAGAAAUCUAAAGCUUAGAAUCCGACACAGAAAAAGAAAACAGAAAAUAAACCUCUUGAACGCGAGAGGAAUCGAGCAGGCGAUCUUCAACACUAUCACUGAGUUCAUCGAAGGCUUUGCUUUGUUGCUGCAAGUCCUUAGAAUUAACAAUUCUCUCUGUCGCACCUUCAUAUGCAGCCUCCAUUAUCUUUUUCAAACUACGGAUUUGCUUCCAAAUCCUGAACACUAGCUUGUGGAUCUCCCCCUGCACAUUCCGCUCCUUCUCUACCUUCCCCAUAGAUGAAGCGAUGUUGCUGUGGCUGCAUGCUGCCUCUCUUUUCUUGAACUGGUCGUGAACACGAAAAGCUAAAGUGGUUCUGAGUUGCUCACUGUGCUUGAUUCGCCCGGUUCCCGCUCAUGGACCAGUGUUACCCAAGCCCAUAAAGGCAUAGGCUGGAUCCGCUGGGAGAUGGAAAAUAAAUGCUUUUUUUUUCUUUUUAAAAAAUUACUAUUAAGUUUCUAUAUUUUUUAAAAAUUUAUUAAUUUAUUUUUUAUUUUAAGAUCAUUUAAUUAAAAUAUUAAAUUGUUUAAUCAUUCUGUCAAAUAAACUGCUAAUCAACUUGUUUUAAUAUUAAUGAGAAAAAUUAAAUGAUAUGUAUAUUUAAAAUUAUAGAGAUCAACAUGAUUAAAUUUAUAGAUAUUAAACAAUAUAAAUAUAUAAAUUAAUUAAUAAUUUUUUAAUAGAAUUAAAAAAAAUUCAAUUAUGGAGAAGUUUCAGUGUAGUGUGAAAUAAAACCAACUAAUGAAUUUAGUAAAAAAUUAAAAUAUAUGAUAGUUAUUUUUUUAAAGUCAAGUAGAAGGUACAAUCUAGGUACCAUUAGGGUUUAGGUUAUGUAAACUAAAAGUGUAAUUGAGAUAUCUCCAAUUCUUAUAGAAUAGAGAACUCAGCUUUAUCAUAUAAUAUGUUUAAUUAACUUUGAGUAUUUUUUAGAAUUAAAAAUAUGUUUGUAUUUAUUGGAUAUAUUUCAUGUAUAAAAUUUCAAAAUAGUGAACUAAUUUUUCAAAUUUUAAUUAUUUUUUAAGUUAGUUUCAAAUUAUUUUCAUUCUCUAAUGCAGUUGGAUCUGAGUAGGCCUGUAUAGUAAGAGUUCAUUAACCAUGGCAACAAAUUAAGAAGAAAAUGAAAGCUUGGGGGGACCCAAAUGCACAUGCAAUGCACUUUGAUAAUUAAUUGAAAGUUUGAAGAUUUUGCUUAAUUUUAUUUCCUCAUAAUCACAUCUUACAGGUGGAUUUUGCCUCCUAUGCUCUCGACAUAUGUUUUGAGAGAAUUUAUUACCAUAAACAUAAUUGGAGUUUAAAAUUGAGAUGACUUUCUUACAUUAUGAAUUGCCCAAUCUAUAAGGAGCUGGUCUCCACUUUCCACAGUGAAUUCAUUUGGCUGAAAGUGGCAAAUAAAAAGCACAGCAAUUGAGAUGAACUAACAUAUAUACCUUGUCAGAAUUAAUGCAGAAAUUUGAUUCCUUGAUUAAUGCAAGGGGAAGGUGAGAAGUAUUUAGGUUAGCACUUAAAAAGUAGUUGGGAAUAACUAAUCACCGCCCAAAAAGAAAGAGUUGAAUUUUGCGCCAUUUCAUUAAGCAAAGAUCUCAAGUCCAAACUCUCGUAAACACAACAUAUAUAGACUCAACUACAUCUUUUAAUGCAUUGAUUUUACUUGCUAACACUAUAAAUAACGACCCUUUGUUCUUGUUAAUUCUAUGAAUUAUAGCAACUCAAGCUUGAGUUGUAUUCUUCAAGUUCUUUUCUUUUGCUCUCUAUAAUAACAAGAAACAUGGGGAAGCGUUUUAAUAAGCAUGCAAGAGUUAUAGUUGUGGUUUUUGCAUUGGUGUUAGGGUUAGUUGAAUGUCGAGCAUUCCAAAAGGACCAAUUUACUGGCAAAAAUGCAGAUAACUUAGGCCUUGAUGGUGGUUUUGGUGGAGGGGUUGGAGGUGGAUUCGGUGGUGGUGCUGGAGGAGGGAUUGGUGGCGGAGUUGGAGGAGGUGGUGGUGCUGGAGGAGGAAUUGGUGGUGGAGGCGGUGCUGGGGGAGGAUUCGGUGGUGGUGGUGGAAUUGGAGGAGGCAAAGGUGGGGGAGUAGGAGGUGGUGGUGGAGGCGGUGCUGGGGNNNNNNNNNNNNNNNNNNNNNNNNNNNNNNNNNNNNNNNNNNNNNNNNNNNNNNNNNNNNNNNNNNNNNNNNNNNNNNNNNNNNNNNNNNNNNNNNNNNNNNNNNNNNNNNNNNNNNNNNNNNNNNNNNNNNNNNNNNNNNNNNNNNNNNNNNNNNNNNNNNNNNNNNNNNNNNNNNNNNNNNNNNNNNNNNNNNNNNNNNNNNNNNNNNNNNNNNNNNNNNNNNNNNNNNNNNNNNNNNNNNNNNNNNNNNNNNNNNNNNNNNNNNNNNNNNNNNNNNNNNNNNNNNNNNNNNNNNNNNNNNNNNNNNNNNNNNNNNNNNNNNNNNNNNNNNNNNNNNNNNNNNNNNNGAGGAAUUGGAGGUGGUGCGGGAGGAGGACUUGGUGGUGGUAAAAGUGGAGGAAUUGGAGGAGGAGGAGGUUUUGGCAGUGGUGGUGGUGGAGGAAUUGGUGGGCGACAUUAAUUCCUCAAAUAAUUUGCUAGCUUCCUACAAUGCUUGCAUGGGGUGGCAAAAAAAAAAGAAAGUAAGCCAAUAUUAUGAUGCGAAGAGUACAUCCAUCGACCAUGAUAAAUAAAAAGCAUUUCAAUUUUACAAUUCCAUGCAAAAAUACUAUCUUAGUAAUAUAACAAAAUUAAUAAUUGAUUAACUAUAUGUGUAAAAUUAAAUCUAAAUGUAAAUAAUUAAUUUAGUGAUGAUGAAAUCUAUUGCCAUAUAAAAUUGAUAGCUAAGAAUAUAUAAACAAAAACUAGCAAGGAGCACUUAUUUCAUAUAAAUUGAACUCUGCUUGGCGGAUUCCUUUCUCAUCAGCAUUUUUUGAGUAGAAGAAAUAGUUGUAAAUCUAUACAUAAAUCUGCAGUAGAGAAAUUAAUAAAAAAUAAAACAAAAUUAAUUUGGUGUAUGCUACAAUUUAACAACUUCACAUCCAGGCUGGCAGCCAUUCCUUGCCAUCAAUGAAAUCAAUGGACAUGAAGCGUUCAGCUUCUUCAUCUGUGAGUUGUUUCGCCCAAUCGGCACGAUUAAACGUAAAAGCUCCUGGUCCAUGGCAUUUGUACUCCGCUUGGAAAAUAUUUCUGUUUCAAUUCAAAAGCAUUUUCUUUUAGUCAGAUUUCGAAUUGGCUAAAUAUUUAAACAUAAUUAUAAAUUGUUAUAAUGUUUUCUUCUUACUUAGUGCCUCCAAGGUAGCUCCAACUAGUCCAGCCUUGUGGUGCAAUUGCAUUAGAAAGGUAAGUUUUUGCGAAAAUAGUUCUAGAAUAGGCACCUUUAGCCCUUCCUAAAUAAACAUGACCAACACCAUAAACCCUCCCUUCAACAAAAACAAAUCCACUAUCGUUGUCUGAUUCCCUAUUAUGGGCUGUGAUGGAUCCAAGAAUCUUCACUCUCAUGUCUAUAAUUACAAAAAUCUCACAUUGCUGCAAAUACAUAACCAACACAAUUAUUAAAUUUGAAUCUAAAGAAGAUGAUAUGGGGAAAAAAGCAGCAACUCACAUGAAAAAUAGUCCUUGCACGGCCAAAGAUGAAGUCGAUUGAGCCUUGUAUAUAGCAAUGGUGAUAGUAAUGCCUGCCUUUAUAAUCAAAUAAAGUAUUGUGUGUGCUGUAGAAUGCACAAUGGUAGAAUGAAAUCAUGUCUGCUCCUACAAAUGCUGCCACCGAUUGGUUUUGAGAGGUAAACGCUUCCCCUGUGGGAGCCUCAUUCUGCAUUGUCAAAACAAGAUUCAAAUAUAUAAAUUACAUAUAAAACAUUCUGAGUCCUACCCGAAGCCAAUUAAAUAAUAAUAAUAAUAAAAAAAAGCGAGUAAUAUGUACCUUGAAACUGAUACCAAAAACAACAAGGUGAGGGGAUUCUGAAGUAAAUGUGGCAGAUUCCUUGUUAUCAGUUGAGCUCAUUGACCAGAUGAUGGCCGUCCUUCCUUUUCCAUUUCCUCUCAUGAAUAUAUGAGGUUUAUUACAUGGAAUGUGUACCUUUUCUCUGGAUUUUUUUUUUUUUUGAAAAACAAAAAACUCUUAUUUUUCAUUGUUACUCAAUUUUUAUGAAUUAAAAAGAAAAGCAAGAAAGAGUAUAUAAAAACCUGUAGACUCCUUUUCUUAUAUGGAUGAUGACCCAUUUGGAAUUAUUCUCAGGAACGGCAUCUAUGGCCUCUUGGAUAGAGCGAUAAUCUCCUUCGCCAUUGAUAUCAACUAAGAUGGUGUUAUUUGUGGCAAUUUUUUCCGUCAACAAAGGAGCGUCUAUGACGGCCGGCUUCACGAAAUCAGCCUGGACAUUGCGUGAAAAGCUCAAGGCUGUGGCUAAAAUGGUUGCCAAGGCAACGUUAAUUACCUUAAGGAACAUGGAAGAAGAAAGAGAUGACAAAGGCAUUUUCAAAGAGAUUGCAGGCUUUUGAUGAAUUGUGCUUUGAGGGUCAUCAAGAAAAUAUUUUUAAAAAGAUUAAGUAAAAUUGAUGUUUAAAUGGAGAUUAUUUUUGUGUGUGUGUGUGUGAGAUUGUGGUUUGCUUUGGAAGGAAGAAUUGGGUGUACUAGGAAACACCUCUAUUUUUUUAGAAGGCUUUCAACGGUAACUUGUGUGGUUCUUGUCAUUUUUUUUAGCUGUCUUUUUCUUUCUUUUUCAAUGGAUUUAGGAAUGGUAAUAAAUAAGCUAUCCCCAAAAUCUUUUUAUUUAAAGUUAAUGAUUAAUUUUAGAAUGUGAACGUAUCUUAAAUUUACUUGAAAUUUAUUUUUGAGCAGUUUGUGGUUAUCUCAAACUUUAUUUUUAUUACCUAAGAAUUAUCUAAACUAAUUUAGUUUUAUAUUUUCUAAUCAAUAAUUUAUUAAAAUAUUUUUAUUUUAAAAUUUCUAUAAUUCUAUAAAAUAUUUAAUCUCUAUUUCAAAAAUAUAAUAUUUAAAAAUUUUAAAUUGUAUUAUAAGAUUUUUUUUUUUUAUAAUUAUUGAUAAUAGUAAAAUACAUAAGCAUGAAUAAGGGGCAAAUUGAUAAAAUUUAUAACUAUUUUCAUUUGUUAUAUUUCCUUCUUUGUAUUUAAUUUAAUUCUAUCUUCAUAUUUCUUUCCUUAUUCAUAUUUCAUAUUUAUAUUUCAUUCUUAUAUAUAUAUAAUAUCAUAUUUUUAUUAUAAUCAAAUUUCAUUUAUAUUCAAUUAAUAUUAUUUGUAAAAAGAGAUUUAAUCAAUUAUAAUUUAAUAUGAAUGAAACAAUUUAUUUUAUUACUAUUUAAAAUUGUAUUCAUUCUAUUUAAUUUGGAUUGAGCUAAUAAUUAUAAUUCUAUUUCAAUUUAUAUGCCUAUAAAAAUAGUUUUAAAGUUUUAUAUGUUUAAUUUUUAUUAUUAUCAUUAAGCAAUUUAUAGUAUUAAAAAAAGUUCCAUAAACAAUUUAUCAUGGAAGGUAAAAAUUUUAAUUUACGUUUUAAUUAUUCUUACCUAUAUAUUAUGUAAAUUACAUAAUAAUUUACAUUUUUUUUUUAUCCAUGAUUCAGUUGUCUUCUACGUGACUCAAUUUUUUUUUUUCGUUUUAUCUUUGUAAAACUUUCGUUGCUAAUUUUAUUUAUCUUUUUUUAUUUUCCUGAGUCUUAAAUAUAAAAUAAAGAAAAAUUUAAUGGCAUUAAGUAUAAAAAAAAUAAAAAAAUUAUUAUUUAGAAAAAUUUAUUAAUCUUUUUAAUUUAAAAAAAUAUAAUAAAAAAUUAAAAAUUCAGACCGCUUUGAUGUGAAAAAACUGUUACUAGAUAUUUUUAUAAAUUGAAAAAUUAAUUAAUAAAUUUUUUUAUAAAAAAUUUAAUUUUUACUUAACAAUACUAAUUAUUUUAAUAGCCAUAAAAUCUAAAUGGUAAAUCUUCUACAAUAAAAUGCAAUAAACUAUUUGAUGGAUUAUAAUUAUGUAAAUUCUGGUUAGUUCACAAUCCUCUAGGGGUGAGCAUUCGGUCGGUUCGGUUUAAAAUCGAACCGAACCGAAUAAACCGAAAACUGAAAUUUUAGUAUUUAUGAAAACCGAACCGAACCGAUUUUGGUCAGAAAUCAAAUCGAACCGAACCGGUCUGAUUCGAUUCGAUUCGGUUUGAUCGGUUUCGAUUUUUAAUAAUUUUUUUAUUUUUUACACUUUAUUUUUAAUAUUUUAAAAUUUAAUUAAAAUAUUUUAAUUUUAAUAUGAUUUAAUUUCUCUAUAUUAUUGAAAAAAUAUAUUAUUAUCACUAAUCAGUUCGGUUCGGUUUUUUUAAUUUUUUUCUGAUUAAAACUGAAUCAAACCAAAAUAACCGAAAUUUCUGAAAUUAAAAACCGAACCGAAAUAUAUAAAAAACUGAAUUAAAUUUUCAAAUCGAUUCGAUUCAAUCGAUUUUUUCAGUUUGAACCGAAUACUGCUCACCCCCUACAAGUCUCUACUUAUUUGAGAUCAUUCCCUCAAAUACAAAUGCUUAUUCCUCCAUCUAAUGUCCUGGAUUGCAACGAGGGACUGCAUUAAAUUACAAACACGGGGUCCUGAAUUUUCAACCGCAUAGUUAGCGGUUGCAAAAAUUAAUAUUCUAUGUGUGCUUUGUUGGCAAAGCAUGUGAAUAGUACUCUGCCUUGGGACUCCAAUGGUGCGGUCAUCUUCUGCAGAGUUAUUCAAUGCCAUGCAAGUAAAUUAAUAAAUAAAUCACCACUCUCAUUCAUUUUCUUCUUCUCGUCACCUUUUCUUCAUGUUUCGUGGUCAAAUAGAUCUGUUCAAAUUCACAACUCUUAGCUUCUUAUGGCAAUUCUUUUCAGGCCAAGUUGCAUGAAAUCAUUCAUUAGAGCUCUAAUGGCCGAGUAACUAUCCUAGUCUAAACAGGAGUUAACCAUCUUUUUUGUUAACAAUACUAAUUAAAAUUGAUAAAUUACUUUGAAAGUGAGAUCCUCUAUUUCAACUAAAUCAACAUCUUUAAAUAUUUUUUUUUAUAUAAAAUUAAGUAUUUUUAAUUUUGAAAUUAAAUUAUAUUUACAUUAAAUCAGUCUGUAUUCGACCUGCAUUCGUAAAUAUGAAAUUCUAACCUCUAAGAAAUUUAAUGCCAUGCAUUGGGAAAAUAAAAUAAAAAUCCAUUAGAAUUAGUAAUGAACACCAUACGCAUACACUAAUUUUGGAGAUGAACCGCACUUAGAUACAAAAUUGGUGAAAGGAAGGGGAUGUAUGGAACCAGAGACAGACCCAUUCAUGGUCAUGCCCCUUCUGAAAAUUUUGAAAUUUUUUAAGAUGUAGAUAAUUUUUCUUAAAAUAUAAAAAAUUAUCAUUAAAUCCUUACAUAUUUAAAAAACUUAUCAGCUAAUCCUUAUUUUAAAAUUAUUUAAUUAAAUCAUUGUUAUAUUUUAUAAUUUUAAAUUCUUUAAUUCAUUUAUUAAAAAAAAUUUUACUAUUUAAUCUCUCAUCUUCUAUAUUAUUUUUCAAUUUAAAAAAUUUAUUUCUCAUUUUCAAGAUUUUAAAUUCAAGUCUCCACUUAAAUUUUUUCUUAGAUUAUUUCCUUGUUAUUUAAUUUAUUUUUAUAUACCAUUUUUAUUAUUUGGUUAUAAUUUUUUAUUUAUUUCACUUAAUUACUAAUCUAUUUAUACAAAAAUAAUUUUUAAUGGAUUAGAAUAUUUAAAAAAAAAUAAAUUUCAAUAGUAAAUCUUGUAUUAAAAUAUUAUAUUAUUUUAAUAUUUUUUUUAUAAAUUUACAGAUUACAAAAAUGACGGAAAUAAUUUUUUUUUACAGUAAAUAUUAUUAAAAGUCAAUUCUAUAGUAAUAAAUCAUAAAUAAUUAAUUGAUAACUUAUAUUUGUAAAAUGCCAAUAACAAUAUCAUUAAAAAUAUAUUUUAAUGAAUGAAAAAGAGAUGAGAAUAACAAUGAUUUAAUUAAAUAAUUUAUUAUUUUUUAUAAAAAUUUAUUUUUUGAAUAUAAAUUUUUCACAUAUAUUAAAAAAAUAAUUUAUUUUAUUAAUUUUUUAAUUAUACUAUCUUUAAAAUAUUAAAUUUUAUUAAAUAUUAAAAAAUAUUUUGAAUAUUUAUUUAAAAAAUAAUAAUUAAUGACAGAUUAAUUUGAAAAGUAUUAUAAUAGUUAAUUAUAUAUUACUAUAACAAAAGAAAAUGAAUAAUAAUUUUGAAAUAAUAAUAAAAAAAUCGAUAAAAUAAUAAAACAGAAAAUACUUAUUUAAAUUGGUCCUGAACUGAAUUUCUGCAUCAGUGGAUACUUUGCUCCAUCUUGUUCUUUGGCUCAUACUCUAUAUAGAAUAUCCUAUUAAUAGCACCUUUGACAAGUUAGUUUCUAUAUUAAUUGAGCUCAUUGAUGGUUGUAUCUUAUUGGGUUCAAAUUUUCAUUACAAGCAUUUCUCGAAAUGGUAAUUGGCUCCGAUUGUGGCUUGCUCUGCUCAAACUAGUUUAACCGUGUCCGUUUCACAGUCCACAAAAGAUUAGGUUCGUAGCUGUCCCUCUUAACAAUGUCAUCUCCAAGUUCUCCCUUCUGAGUGCAAGUAGCCUUUCAAUUGCAGCGUUGGUUCAAACUAGUCCACUUGAUACACCAAGAAAUCUAUAUAUGUGAAUAUCCAAGUUUAGUCUGACAAGACAUUUAAAGCACUGUAAGAUCCUAGCACGUUCUUGAUAGUUUUCUUGCUUAGCUCCUUUGUGGCCUUGGAUAUUAAAGAAGGGACCUCAGAGAUUGGGCGGCACAAACAUCUUAGUUUCUUUCUGAAGAAAAUUUUCCUUGUUCUUUGCAAAUGGGUUUCCUAUUGAUCCGUAAAAGAGUCAUCAGGAUUGCAUCUCAAGUACUGAUCAUCUUGCUUUUAUCAGAGAUCUGUAUCGCAAUCAAUUUUAGUGCAAAUUUUGUUUUUGGAGAUUCCUUGGUUGAUGUUGGAAAUAACAACUAUAUAAUAUCACUUUCAAAGGCCAAUUAUUUCCCAAAUGGGAUUGAUUUUGGAAGGCCAACAGGUCGAUACACCAAUGGAAGGACCAUUGUUGAUAUUAUAGGCAAGUUAACUUUGUGUUUCGUUUCUUCUUGUUAGUACUUUUAUGUAACUUGAGUAAAUUUUGCCUUGUUGCUCUGGAAUCUUUUUGUCUUAACAGGUCAGGAAGUGGGCUUUGAAGAUCUCACUCCUCCUUACUUGGCUCCCACAACAGCAGGACCUGUUGUUCUAAAGGGUGUCAAUUAUGCUUCGGGUGGAGGUGGAAUUCUCAAUCUCACGGGAAAGAUUUUUGUAAGUUUGAAACCCUUCUAGAAUGUUAAUAAAUCCUUCCAUUGCUAAGCUUCCCAGGUUCCAAAUCAGCAAAGAAGCUAUAGUUGCAAAUUUGCAGGGCACUGUAACCGGUUCUUGAGCAUUUGGCUCCAGUGGGGUCAUUGGUUGGUUGUUGGGAUUUUAAAUGUGCGCGCAUGUGUCUCUUUUGCCAUUGACCAUAGCUAACUUUUGUCCAUAGGGUGGACGAAUAAAUCUGGAUGCACAGAUUGAUAACUUCGAAAACAACAGGCAAGACAUAAUCUCAAGCAUUGGUGCUCCUGCAGCUCUUAAUCUGAUUCAGAGGGCUCUCUUUUCUGUUACCAUUGGCUCCAACGAUUUCAUUAACAACUACUUCACACCUGUGGGCUUAGUCCCCAAGCGAGAGCUAAUUCCUCCACAAGUCUUUGUGAACACCAUGAUCGCAAGAUUCAGACUACAACUUACGGUAUAAAAUUUGCUCGCAACUCUUUCUUAAUCCUCUGCACUUAGUCCGUGUGAAAUGCUAAAAUGCUACUUUCUGACUUCUGUACUACUUGCAGAGACUCUACAAUUUGGGUGCUAGAAAAAUCGUAGUAGCAAAUGUGGGUCCUAUUGGAUGCAUACCAUUUGAAAGAGACACAAAUCCUUCUGCAGGAAAUGAUUGUGUUGGUUUUCAGAAUCAGUUAGUUCAGCUAUACAACAAAGAGUUGAGAAGACUAAUCGAAGAGCGUAGAACAAGUCUGGUGGGAUCCAAUUUCAUCUAUGCAGAUGUUUAUCGAAUAGUAGAAGACAUUCUGCAAAAUUACAAAUCAUAUGGUCAGAGAGAGACAAAUGAAAGUUUUCGGGUGAAUUACAAUUUCAUCCUUGGGUUUUUCCAUUACUAAUAAGCUGGUCCUUACAUUCUCAUAAACUUGUUAAAUGGCCUCUAAAUUUUCAUUAUGUCAAACAUUUCAUCCCUAGAAUCAAAAUUAAUGGACGUUUUAGAGAGUUUUUUGAAAAUAUAGGGACCAGAUUAUUGAUAAUGGCAAAGUUCCGUGAUGAAAUUUUAAUUCACCCUGUGUUUCCUUAUUCUACUUGUGAUAUUUUUGCAAGUUGUGGUGAAUCAUUCCUGAUAAGAUGAGGAUUUUCAUGUGUUGCAGGGUUUGAGAGUGGAAAUGCAUCCUGCUGCUAUGUGGCUGGGAGAUUCGGUGGCCUAGUACCCUGCGGUCCAACAUCUAAAGUUUGUGUAGACAGAUCCAAGUAUGUUUUCUGGGAUCCAUAUCAUCCUUCUGAUGCUGCUAAUGUCAUCAUCGCAAAUCGCCUAACCGACGGUGACUUGAAUGAUAUUUCACCGAUGAACAUUCGUCAACUCUCUCAACUUUGAUUUAGUGGAAGUAUUUAAUUCAGUUGAUUCCUCUUAUUUCAAUUUUUGAAAUGAAAUUUUUUUUUUUUAAUUUAAAAAAUUUUAUAUCAAGUUAAAUUUGAAUCCGAUCUAAUUUUCCACAAGUUAGUUUAAGAGGCAGAGUGUUUGGAACCCAUACAAGAAGGUAAAUUACCUCUUUUCUCAAUUGAUAUGAAAUUAAACAUUUUUUAUUGCGAAAUAAAUUAGGCCAAACAAAUACUAUACGUUGUAAGUGUUUCUCUUGGAGAGCUAAAAUUGCCAUUUCUUAUUUUCCAUCACAUAUGAACUGUAAUUCCAAAUUUCCAAUCCUGCAAAUUUAGAUUUUAGCUGAAUUUAAAUAUGUCGAUUUUAAAUAAAAGUUUAAGUUUGAGUGUUGACGCCUCUUAUAAGAUCAAAUAUAUAUGUAUAUAUUUAAAAGCUUUAGACAAAAUUACCCAUUAUUUGUACUUUUAUAUAUAGAUUAUAAAUUAAUAAUUCAUGAUUCAAAGGGACGUGUAAUCCAAUUUGCAUGAGAACUUAAUAAGCUGGGGAAGGCCAUGCAAUUGUUGGCCCUCCUUAAACCCGUACCUCUUCUCAUAUAAUGAAAGAGGCUUCCACACUGCAGGCUCUAAGGCAAGUUGGCCCAAAAUGUGGGUAUCAAAAAAACCAGCUUGUGAACUUUAAGUGUUGGGUACAUUUGUAACGCCCACCAAACUCUCGAACUUAGAUUUAAUUGUUAUAGACGAUAUUAUUUACAAAGAACAGCUACAAACUCUAAGAGAUUAAUUUUUUGUACUGUGAUGUAUGAUGAAGGAAUAUUCUGAAACUAAAGUUGGACCAGGUAUUAUUACCAAUUUAAGAGUCUAAAUGAUUUUUCUUGAACGCUUUUUUUAGUCUUGAACUUCAACGUUUAAUAGGCAUUAACUUGAUGAUUAAGGUGUGGGAAUCUUCAAGUUGACUGAUUUACAGCCACCAAUCAGAUCAUUAAAAAAAAAUUGAGACUAAAAAGAAGCCUAUAGACUAGGUUAGUUCCAUUAUACAGCAUAAAGAUUUUCGUAUUCCUGCUAUUUUACAUACGUAUAUUGUAAAAAAUGGCAACUUAAUAAUAAAUAGAUAAAUAUGUAAAAAUAGAUUUAUUUUUUUAUAUAAAUUAUGGACUUAAAAUAAUCCAUGUGGAAUUGAAUUUCUCCCCUCCCCAACAGAUUUAGACAAGUAAUGGCUAGUGAGGCUAAAACCUAGAAGGAAACCAAUCCAAUAAAAAUUUAAGAAUCUCAAAAUUGAUUUCAUGAUCGGUUAACCAUGUCCUUAGCCAUUAUCUUUGAUUUUUUUUUUUAAUUUUAUUUUUGCUUAAUUUGAUUAUGACCAUCUUAAAUAUAGCCGUGAUAAUUGUAUAUUAUUGAACUAGGAGGAGUUUCGAGUUCAACUCUCUCCCAUAUAAUCAUGCAAGAAAAAAAAAUGAAUGUAUAUUCCAAAUGAAAGUUGCCACUUGUCACCCAAAAUGUUGAUGGUUACGAUAGCCAAAAAAACACGAGUGAAGACUAGGGCUACUUGUACAACCCAAGACGAGACCAGCCAACAAUAACAAGAAACCUCUCAUGCCAAGGCUAAUUGUCCAAAUUCAUGGAUGGUCCCCAAUUUUUCGAAUCCCUUAGAAAUUAUGUUCCUAAAGUUGCCACCUUAUAGGCCCCAUCUCAUGCUUGCCCCAUCUCGGAGCUUUCAACAAGUGUGCAGAGACCCAGCUCUAGAGAGCUCCGAAGAGAGGAAACACAGCGACACAGUCUUUGUUUUCCAUAUAAUCAACAAGAAACUAGCUAUUUUCCAUGUCAAAUUUAUACAAUAAAACUUUUUCUUAUAAGCAAUUAUAAAAAUAAACAAGUGCACGUCACAAUCUUUGUAUUUCUAUUGUCUCCACAAAUAUGAUUCUUUUACCAUUAAUGGAAUUUAUUUUUAUUUUUAUUUUUUCAACCAAAUGGGAUGGCUUGAGUAGUUUCACACGUUUAAAACUUAUACUUGCAAGAUAUCAAAAAACUUAAAACUUAUCCCUAAAUUUAUAAUUAGAAAUUCAAAGGAGAAUAAGUUUGAUUAAUCAAUAAAUAAUUUGAUGAUUAAUUAUAUAUCCUUUGACAAAUUCCUGAUUUCCUAGCAUAAAAGAUUUGAGAUGGUGACCUAUGGUGCGUGGCUAAUUUUCAAAUUGGCUUGACGAAAUCUAUUUUCUAUAGUUGAGUGGUAAGAUUCCUCCCCCAUUAAUUCAGUCCCCAAGUAGUGAUGCUUGAAUGAGAGCCUCUACUUAUGAAGGUCAUCUAGGCCACUCCUGUCAAUCAAAGUCAAAGGAGCAAAAUUGUCAUGAUUACUAUUAAAAAAAUUUGAAUUUCAUAGAAUCUACUUUAGUCAGCUUGAGUCUUUAGUUUAGUUUGAUUUAAUUUAUGCUAAUAAAUUCUUUUAAGCUUGGAAUCUUGGAAACCAUAUUCUACUACGAGCAUUCGGUAACACACUAGAAAAGAGAAAAAUGAAACUAAGGAAAUCACGUGAUCAUAAACACUCAGAGAAUAAAACUAAAGUUUCGUGUUAGAAAAACGCUCUCUUGCUUGGAGAGACCAGAGAAGGCUACACUCUAAGCAGCAAAGAGAAGGGACUGAUCUCUGAAGAAGAAAAUCAGAAAGGGAGAUUAUUCUCUCUCUUUAAAAAACCUACAGAAAGCAGACACAUCAUAGAUUCUGGAAUUUGCUUCCUAGACGAUUGUUAUUCAUUAUGGAAACUAAAUCAACCUUGUUGAUAAGCAAGUCUACUAUUUUUUUUUUUCAAAUCCUCAAAGCAACACGGAAAAAAAUAUUGAAAGUCAGGCCUAUCUCUAGAAGCUCUCUCUAGCUUGAUUUUGACCGAAAUUUCAGUAAUUCAUUAAUGGUCUUCUUCAUGCGAGUGGACAGUAACUAGCUAAAAAUUAGUCGGGGCAAGUCACCUAAAGCCAAAGGCUAAAGCUUGAGAGGUGAGAAUCACAGAAAGUGGGAUCCUUUCUAAAGUAUUUCACUUGGCAGGUUAAAAAAAGCGACAGAAAAAGAAUUCCGAGAAAAGAAAAUGCAUAAAAUUAAAGAAAGAAAGCUCAGAGUCAGAGGUAUUGCAAGAACACUUGCCUUUUAGCGUAUAUCAAGUAGAUGGUUAAUGUUAUAUACACACCAGAAUACAAACAAAAGGCAUUACAACACCCAACAAGACUCUUCCCCACACCAUCUCCUCCUUUCUCCUUCUACCCAACAAUGGAGUGACCCUUUUCCUGUCCCUCUACUACCGGGCACAACCCUCCAUCAUCACCACCACCUUUCUCUCUUCUUAUCCUGCAUACCCAUUUUCUUGUCAAAGAUAAAUUGGAUCAUUAUGUCAACUACCGAGAUUGGGAUAUCUUGAGAGAGGAGAUUGGAGUUGGCUUAACUGAGAGAUGUGGGAUGCUUCAGGCAUUGAUGAAUCUGCUUUCUUCAUGCUUUAGGCCGUUUGGGCAUGAGAGCCGCACAAGUGGCAAGUUUGAGUCUGUUGGUAGGGAAGGGAAAGACGGGUUGCUUUGGUAUAAAGAUAUUGGGAGAUAUGGGUCUGGAGAUUUUUCAAUGGCUGUUGUGCAAGCUAAUCAAGUACUCGAGGAUCAGAGCCAGAUCGAAUCUGGAUCCUUUGGGACUUUUGUUGGCGUCUAUGAUGGUCAUGGUGGCCCUGAUGCCUCUCGCUAUGUUUGUGAUCAUUUGUUCAGGAACUUUCAAGGUCUGUUAUUAUUCAAAUUUGAUUAAUCCUCUUCAUUUUUAUAUGGAUUCCCACUCCCCUGUCCCCCUUUUUAGUUGGAUUCUUUUGUGGUUUUGAAUCAGCCACGUUUCAGUAAACUUUUGUGGGUUCAUGGAUUGGAACUGUUAGCAGUGAUUUCCAAUGAAUUUCUUUAUUUCUUUUCCCCUUGAGAUUUUGGAAGGCAGAUUUUUGGUUGAGCCUGUUAUGAGUAUCAGAUAACUGUUGAGAAUAUUUCCAUGCGGAUUUUGUUUUGAUUGAAUAACUGUUCAGGCUUCAGAGUAUCAGAUAACUGUACAGCUGAAACUUGGAAAAGUGUGGUUAAUUACAAUUUGCUCUAUUUCAGCACAUAGGAGAGGAAUUUUUGGUUUCAAAAAGUUACCAACAUAACCUUUUACAUAGUUUUUUUUUAAUUACUUUUUCUUCUUCUUUAUGCACUAAAGGACUGAAGCGUAUUGAAGUUCUUUCUUUUGAAUGCUAAGAAAAUGCUACCAAAAUUCAAAAUGCUUGAAAACACCUGCUACAGAAACUGGAUUCACAAAAAAUAUUCUGUCAUUCCCUUUCUUAGGAAAUGUUUCUUGUUGUUUUAACUUUGAAUGAGGAGCUGGUCUUGUUUUGGCAUUCUUAGGCUUUGUGGUUAUGCAGCCAUAUCAGCUGAGGCUCAAGGAGUUGUGACUGCUGAGACUAUUCAAAGAGCAUUUCAUGCAACUGAAGAAGGGUUUACUGCUCUUGUGUCUGAGAUAUGGGAUACUUAUCCCCAAAUUGCAACUACUGGAUCUUGCUGUCUAGUUGGAGUCAUAUUUCAGCAGACCCUCUUUGUGGCAAAUUUGGGAGAUUCUCGAGUCGUGUUGGGGAAGAAAGUUGGUAACACUGGAGAAAUUGCUGCUAUUCAGUUAUCAACAGAACAUAAUGCAAACAAUGAGGCUGUCAGGCAGGAACUUAAGGAAUUACAUCCAAAUGAUCCCCAGAUUAUUGUCCUUAAGCAUGGAGUUUGGAGAGUAAAGGGGAUUAUUCAGGUUAUUUCAGAAACCCAGUUUAUCCUUCACACUAUGCUUUUUGAAAUUCAAGCUGUUUCUUACAUUCUUUGACAUGUCCUCUUAUCUUAAAUAUUAUUUCUAUGUUUGUGCUAGUCCUGAGAAAUUAUGCAAUCAUUGGGAUGUGAACUGAAGAUCAGAAUUAUUUUGUUAAUGAUAAGUGAUUCAGUUGUAAAUGCUUCUGGGAACUAAUGAACCAUUUAUUACAGUGAUUACUGCAAAGAAAUUUCACUGUCAUUUCUUGCACUGGAGGAUAUGCAAUGAAGGCAUUUCAGGCUGUGAGAUGAUUUCUUGGGAAAAAGACAAAAGCUAAUAAGUUGCUUGAUUUUUUUUUUUUUCUAGUAACUUCAGAAUUUCAGCAUCAUUUAAGUUACUAAAUUCUGCUAAUACAUAAAUUGCAUGGCCUAUAUAGCUGGAAGUUAUGUGAUGUAUUGUUUGUUGAUUUAUUUAAGUAAACAAGUGUAUUUGAUCACGAAAAGGAAUUCAAGUCUCCGUUCUCCCUUCCCCUGAUUUUCUGAGAGAUUUAUGUUAAUGUGGAAGUCAUUGUGUGACUAGAGAUCUUAUGUCACAAUCUUCAUCAUUGUGUUUGUUGCAGGUUUCCAGAUCUAUAGGCGACGUGUAUAUGAAGCAUGCAAAGUAUAACAGAGAACCAAUUAAUGCAAAAUUCAGACUCCCUGAACCAAUGAACAUGCCUGUCUUGAGUGCUAAUCCAACAAUCCUUUCUCAUCCUCUCCAUCCAAAUGACUCCUUCCUUAUAUUUGCAUCUGAUGGGCUUUGGGAACACUUGAGUAAUGAAAAAGCUGUGGAUAUUGUCCAUAGUCAUCCACAUGCAGUAAGAUUUUGCUCCUCUAUUUCAACCUUCUUCUGUGCACUGAAGUUGAUUUUUAUUCUAGUUGCUAAACCCUUCAACGUUUAAGCUUUCUCUCAAAUAUUCUAAAGAACACUUUGGUGCAUUUUGCAAAGAAAUCAAUCAUUAUUGAUGAUGAGAGUAGAACUUCUUUCAGAAGAAAUGCAUCGUUUUGGACAAUUCUACCAUGCAUAUUCACAUAGGUUACUCAUGGGUUAUGGCCUCUUUUAUUUGACAGAGAAGGCAACUGAAAAAUGCAACCUUCGUUUCCUUGUAUAUACAAUGGCUAUAAAAGAUAUCAUGGUUGAACACAUAUUGGGGAUAUUGUUGAGUGUGCAUUUAAUUAAGACAUGCUAUCAGCUACAGGCUAUCAACUAUGUAGUAUGAGAAAGAAUUUAUGAUGCUGUUAAAAGAACUGUCUCUUCCUGUUUUCUCUCGCUUCUGUUCUCUUCCUUUUUCCUGUUUAGUGCAGAACUUAUCUAAUACUCAUCAUUCAUAAUUAUGUGGGGCUUGGUGUGUAGUUGCUCAUUGAACUUGCAUUAAUACAGGGAAGUGCCAAAAGACUUGUGAAGGCUGCACUCCAAGAAGCAGCAAGAAAAAGGGAGAUGCGAUAUUCAGAUCUUCGUAGGAUUGACAAGAAGGUUCGACGCCAUUUUCAUGAUGAUAUAACAGUCAUUGUUUUAUUCUUAAAUCACGAUCUUGUUUCCAGAGGCACAGUGCAAGACCCUCCACUCUCCAUCCGAAGUGCUCUCGAACACUGAUUGAUUAUUCAAGCUCUUCCUCACAUUCUCUGCUUCUCCUCUGCUCCUCAUCCCAAAAUAUAUAUAUUUGGACGCCAUAGUCUUAUCUAUAUGGAUAUAGAGCUGAACCUCCUCAUUGUGAGAGGCUCAAAAAUUUGUAUGUUCUUUUUUUUUUAAUUAGUUUAGUUUAAUUUGAUUGAAAUCUACUUCAAUUUUAUCUUUCAGUUUCCAUUCUCAUUAUCCAUAUUUCUUUUGACCAAAUGAAAAGGAAAUGCCAUUCAAAAAGGAAAUAAUAUGCGAAAUUAAAGGAUUUUAAUUUCAAUCCAAGACUUUUGAUUGAAGUUUUAUAUUGUUGCAUUGUUUGUUAGAACGUGACAUUAUUUUUCAAAUUAUGUGACUAAAAGAGAGACUGUAAAUGAAGAUAUUAUUUUUAAAAAAAAACUUUUUUUCUGAGGUGGUAAAACAUUAAUUAUAUACUAAAUUUAUUAAUGAAAUAAUUUUUUUUAAAAAUAUAUUAAAUAUAUUAUGUUUUUAUCAAUUUUUCAUUUUAACUUUUAUAAUUUAUUUUAAAAUAUAUAGUUAAUUUUGUAUUAAAAUAAUAUUUCAUAUAAAUUAAUAUUGAAUUCAUGUUAUAAUAUAUUAUUGUGACAUACUAUUAAUUUUAAAGUGAAAAAUUUAAAAAUAAAAAAAUCAAUAAAAUGAUAGAUAUUUUUACUUUUCCGUAAAAAAAUGAGCUCAAGUUGAUUUCGGGAAUUGUGAUCCAAAUCGGAUAUGGCGGAACCGGGUCGAUAAAGAUCCGACUUCAAACUGAGUGGACUGCUAGUUAUAAUGGGUCAAUUCGGAGUUGUACCUUUAUUUGUAUAUUCAUACCGAACGCAGCCUAAAAGUGUUCUCUCGCAGACAAACACGCUGGUAAAGCUGCUGAUGAUCGGCUAUUCAUUUUUUUUUUUCUCCCAAGUUAAGAAUUCCUGCUCAUUUCUUCUUCAGUUAUGUCUAACAAGUCAAAUUCGAGCUUCUCAUUUCUAUAUUACGCGUCGAUCCUCACACUGAGUCUGCUCGUGAGUCAGUCCGACUCGGCACCUCAAGCCUUUCGGAGAGACCCAGGGCAUCCUCAGUGGCACCACGGCGCCUUUCACGAUGUCAGAGACAGCGUCCGUUCAGACGUCCGCCGCAUGCUCCACACUCGCGCGGAGGUGAAGAUCGAUACUGCCUGUUGUUGUCUUUUGAGAUUUACUUGACCGCAGCUAUUAAGUUGAUCGGAGUUUAUUUUUUCUUUUUUGCAGGUUCCAUUCCAGGUUCCAUUGGAAGUGAAUGUGGUGCUCAUUGGAUUUAAUGAAGAUGGAGGCUAUAGGUUCAUCUUAGAUGCACACAAAUUGGAAGAAUUUCUGAGAACUAGCUUUCCAUCUCACAGACCUUCAUGCCUAGAGACCGGCGACCCUCUCGAUAUUGAACAUCACAUUGCUUUUAACGCAUUUCCUGUAAGCUCUCUGCAACUUGGAAUUCUUAAUUAUGUAUAUUGGAAGUUGUUAUAUUGCUUUGUGUUCUUGUAAUAGGCUGGGCAGCCGGAGCUGAUUUCUCUCGAGAAGGCGCUGAAGGAAGCUAUGGUUCCUGCUGGGACGGCUAGAGAGGUGAGUUGAAUGACGGGUAUAUGUCAUAUAUAUCAUUUUCCCUCAUGUAAGUUUCUAAUUAUUGGUGUGUGCAAUAUUUUUCUAGACUGAUUUUGGGAGGGAGGUGCCUCUGUUUGAGGUGGAGGCAACAAUCGUGGAGCCUGUGUUUCACAAAUUAUAUUCUUACAUAUUUGACAUGGAGAAUAUGAGGUAUAGUGCUGCGGAGAAUGAUAGACCUGUCCCCAAUGCAAUUUUUAUUGUCAAUUUUGAUAAGGUAUGGUUUGCAUUCUGGUGGUUCACCACCCUGUUGUAGAAAUAUAGAGAUCAUUUGUUUUACGUUUUUAUCUGGAUAUUAACUUUUUUGUUGAGUAUAAAUGCUGAGAUAUUUUUCCGAAUCCAUGUCUAUCAUCUCUUGUACAGGUAAGAAUGGAUCCCAGAAACAAGGAAAUUGAUCUUGAUAGCUUAAUGUAUGGAAAGCUUCCCCCGUUGACCAAUGAGGACAUUAGUAAUCAAGAGGGAAACUAUGUUUAUCGAUAUCGAUAUAAUGGAGGUGGAGCAACUCAAGUUUGGCUGAGUUCAGACAGGUAUUAAUAUCACUGAACUAUUUGUAUAUCUUGAGAAUGAAGUCAUAUGUAUAUGGAGAAAAUCAUAUUUGAGAUGGUUUUGGCCUUGUGCUUUACUUUCUUGCUUGUAAUUACUUUUUGAAGAUAUUCCUUGACAUUGGAUAACCUAGAUCCUGUAUGCAAUUCAUAUUGAGUUAACACAUUUUGUACUCUAUAUGUUAGAUUCACUAAUUUCUGAAUUUGAUUCACUGCUUGAUAACUUCAUCAAAGUGCACUCUCCACCCUAGCCCUCUCUCUCUACUUGCUCUAACAUUUUUCCUAUAAUGUUCAGAUUUGUUGUGAUCGACCUGUCAGCAGGACCUUGCACAUAUGGAAAGAUUGAAACUGAAGAGGGAAGUGUCAGUUCUAGAACAUUGCCACGGAUACGUAGUGUGAUGUUUCCAAGAGGUCUAGGUGCAAUUAGAGAUCAUGUCUCUCAUGACAUUUUUGUUGGACAACUUGCUGCUUUAAUAGCAACCACGGUUGAGCAUGUUAUAGCUCCAGAUGUUAGGUAUUUUAUGAAGUCCUUUUUACUCAAUAACCUUAAGCAUCUUAAUCUCAUUAUUAUACUUGUAGAGUCUUUUGUUUUUGCAGCUGAUUACUUGUAAUGAUCUGUUGAUAUAGGUUUGAGACUGUUGACCUUGCAACAAGGUUGCUCAUACCAAUUAUCGUGCUCCAAAACCAUAAUAGGUAUAAUAUUAUGGAGAAGGGUCAUAAUUACAGCAUAAAUAUUGAAGAAAUUGAAUCAGAGGUGAGCUUUUCUAUAUGGUAUCAGGGCCUCCCAUCCGAUGUUAGACUUUCAUAAACAUCAUGUCACGCACCAGUAAAAUUUUGGGCGUGAGGGGCAUUCCACAUCGGUUGUGGAAAGGGUAAUGUGCCUCUUAUACGAGCUAUAGGCACUCCUCCCCCUUGAGUUAGCUUUUACGUGAGUUAGGGCUGGUCCAAAGUUAACGAUUAUAACAAAAAAUAUCUUUAGUUAAAUUCAUUUUUAAAUGACCUUUAAGCUUAAGCUCGAACUUUUUGAAUUGAGCUGAACUACGAGUUUAUUACUAGCCAAGCUCAAAUCGAGCUCGAGCUCAAGCUUUUAAUUUUUUUUUUAUAAACAAACCUGAUCUUUGCAAACCUCGGCUCGCUCAAUUCAAUUGCACCCCUAUUGUAAGUUGAGCAUCUCUUCCAAAUUCACAGGAUUCCUUAUUAACCCAUCACGAGAAAUGCCUUAAAAUUUUACAUAUCUGUUUUUUCUUCCCUGUUACAGGUGAAGGAGAUGGUUCAUGAUGGACAAGAAGUUGUAAUUGUAGGUGGUUCACAUGCAUUGCAUCGCCAUGAGAAGUUGGCUAUUGCUGUUUCAAAAGCAAUGCGAGGUCAUUCUUUGCAAGAAACUAAAAAGGAUGGGCGUUUCCAUGUUCAUACAAAGACAUAUCUAGAUGGCGCUAUACUUAAAGAGGUGCAUUUUUUUUUUCUGAAAGAAUGCUAUUAUUGUUUCAUUGUUGAAUGACCAUGUAUUGUGAUGCAUUUGUUUGUUGUUUAAAGCAUAACUGUUUACAAUUUAGUGUUUAUUCUUCCCAGAAGUGUACUAUAAAAAUGAGGUAGACUUGGCUUUCCCGUUGCCAUUAAUGAUCAUCAAGGGGCACUAGUAAUACAUUCAAUGCUCCCUAGACAGUGCCCAAAUAAUCUUGUUUAGUUCUCAAACUGCUUGUGCCACAUCUCAAAUCCUUUUUGGUUGCAAUCUUGUUGAACCAUAAUGCUGUCUCGACUUAUAAUUUUUAAUGAUGUUUUAUGUGCUCUAUUGCCUGUUAUUUACUGUUCUUGGAAUUGUGCAUUGCAGGAGAUGGAACGGUCUGCUGAUGUACUUGCUGCAGGUUUAGUUGAGUUGGCUGAUCCGUCUCUUUCAAGUAAAUUUUUUCUCCGUCAGGUCUGUUUAUAACCGUUGAAAUGCAUACUUACUUGGGAUAGAUGAGGGUUUCUUCACUUAAUCAUUGUUAUUUAAUUACUAUAUUUUGGGAAUAUACUCUAUGCUAAAAUGAAUCAUGUUUCCCACAGAACUGGAUGGAUGAAUCUGAUAGUUCAGGUGACUCCAUUGUUAAGCAUAAACCUUUAUGGGCUAGUUAUGAUUCAAGACUCAGCAAGGAGAAGAAGAAGAAGAUGAAGAAAGCACAGAAGAAACAAGGGGAUCUAUACCGCACUUAUGGAACAAGAGUUAUUCCAGUGUGAGCAUGUGGUCUUUGAACUUUAAAAUUGUAUAAUUGUGCUUUUCCAACUUAAUAUAGGAGCAAGCCUUGCAAUUCUAUAGAUUUCCUUUUUCUGAUUCAUUCCUUGACUGGACACACAGGCUUUUGGUAAAUUGUGUUCAUGUGGCUGUUUUUAACUAAAUUGUGAAGCAGUUUUACUUUCCUAACCACAGCUAGGCACAUUUGAUGGAAAGAGACGGCCUAUUAUCAUUUUUCAGUCAAUAAUUUUUAAAUGAUUGGUAUACCUUCUUUUAAUUUUUGCUUUGUGGUGUAGUUUUGUGCUGUCAUUGGCUGACGUGGACCCACAGCUUAUGAUGGAAGAUGAAAGCCUUGUUUGGACAAGCAAUGAUGUUGUCAUUGUACUUCAGCAUCAGCAUGAAAAUAUACCUUUGAGGUGAGUGACACUAAUCAAAGUUUUCUACUUAGUAGCAUGGUUGGUAUUGUCUUCACAUUCAAAACCUUAUGCCUUCAUAAUAUGUAAUAGUUAGCUAUGGUUAUAUACCUGUAUUUCUAGUUUUCUUUAACUUGUACAUUCCUACAACAAAGCAUGGCUGACAUUGUGUAGCUGUCCAAUUCCAUAUUUUCUUCAAUGCAUUAAAUUUCCACCAAUCAAGCGACAAUUUAGGAACUUCACGGACAUCAUUCAAUUUGCAAGUUUACUUUUCUUGUAACAUAUUGUAUCUAUUGGCCAUGUUUGAUUCUAUCCUUGCCUCUCUGAUUUGCCAAGUUCGCACUGCAGAUGCAUGCUUAUGUCCCAUGGUAUAUAUAAACUUGAUAUAUUUGUAACAGAAGGAUGACAUCAUUGGCCAUCUAUGAUGCUCCCACAGAUUAAAGGAUCAGGCUCUGCUCCUAAAGAACUGCUGCCACUUCAUAUUUCUUGCAUAGUCUAAUUGUCUAUAAACAUUAUAUGUAGCAAAAUAUUUGUGUUCUUCAUAGACAAAUUGAAAGAUCUCACAUUCUCUGUUUUUUUUAUAUAUUAUUCUCCAAAACAUUUCAAUAUUGAUAUAUAUCUUACUGAAUUGCUUCCUGGGACAGUUAUGUUUCAGAGACAGAGAGAAGGCAUGCCCUUCCAUCAUUAGCACAGAGACACAUAUUGGCUGGACUUGCUUCUACUGUUGGUGGGCUGAGUGCACCAUAUGAGAAGGCAUCUCACUUGCAUGAAAGGCCAAUUGUAAACUGGCUCUGGGCAGCUGGUUGUCAUCCAUUUGGGCCAUUCUCUAAUGCUUCAAAAAUUAGUAAAUUGCUAAAGGAUGUUGCUUUGGUAAGUCUAAAUUCUCGGCAAAAUUCUUUGGGCAUAUAAAGUUAAAUAAAAAUUAUUAUCACUAAAAGAACUGGUUGCAACUAGAUUUGGUCAUGUUGAAUAGCAAUUUAUUGAUCCUUAUUAACAUCUCUGUUAGUUAAUUUGUAUUUACUUGAUAGAUUCCAUCUUUUAACUUAUGUCUAAAUCAUUUAUAUUUGUCAGAGGAACACAAUAUAUGCACGCGUGGAUUCUGCUCUCCGCAGAAUUCGUGAUACUUCGGAGGUAAGUUGGUUUUGAUGCAUCAUUAAGCAAACAAAUGACUACUAUUUUCAUAAUUUAAUGCUUAUGAAAUCCUUCUAUUUUGCAGGCUGUGCAAGCUUUUGCUGCUGAACAUCUGAAAACCCCUCUGGGCGAGCCUGUGAAAGGCAAGAAAAACAAGACAACCACAGAACUGUGGUUAGAGAAAUUCUACAAGAAGACGACCAACUUGCCUGAACCUUUUCCGCAUGAAUUAGUUGACAGAUUGGAAAAAUACCUGGAUGUAAGUGACUCAAUCUUGACCACCUAACUGCUUUAGGUACAGGGAGAUUAUAACGUUGCUGUUUCCAACAAAAUUAAUGACACAGGGACUCGAGGAACAGCUAGUAGAUCUGUCUUCUUUGUUAUAUGAUCACCGGUUACAAGAUGCACAUUUGAAUAGUUCAGAAAUUCUUCAGAGCUCUAUGUUUACACAGCAGUAAGCUUUCUUCUCGGACUAAUUUUAUCUGCCUCUAAUGAUGCACUUCUAAAUUGUAGCGGGUAUUGUGGUUGAUUCUAAUAGAAACUUGUGCAUGCUUGCAGGUAUGUGGAACAUGUUUUGCGAACUGAGAGGGAGAAAAUGAAAUGCUGUGAAAUUGAGUACAAAUAUCCAGUUCACUCUUCACAAACUUAUAUAUAUGGGGGGAUUCUUCUUGCCGGGUUUUUCGUAUAUUUUGUUGUCAUUUUCUUUUCCAAUCCUGUCCGUUGAUGCCAACAGACAGCUUCAUUAAUUUUUUUUUUCGAAGCAUAGUUCUUAUGGGCUAGGAUAGAAAACAAAAUGCCUAUACGAGAAAAUGAUUUUUCACUUUCUUUUGUAGUAUUUAGUACAAAUAACAGUGAUUGCUGAUUUUAUCAGAAGCCAUAUUUGCUCUCUUACUCGACCUUCAUGUUAAAUUGUUCAUGUGCUGAUGUUUAAAAACCAAUUUCUCCAGCCUUUCGUUUGGAUUCAUUUUAGAGGAAAAUAAUUUAAACUAAAUUAAAAGAUUUGAGAAAUGGAAAUUUGCCUUCUUUUACUUCCUUUUUCUUCUCUACUUGGUAUCGGAAUAGGAGAGAGAAUUUGAAAAUUCAGUUUUUUUUUCCCCCUUCCUCCUCUCAUCUCUGUUUCCAGAUGAAUGAAUUUAUCUUUGGAAAUGGUUAAUGAAUUGAAGUUAAAGAGACACGGAGGAGCAUGAACGAUCCGUGUCCGUAGCUUGACGAACAAAUCCAACUAUCGUAACGUUUUUAGCGAAUUAAACCUAUUAAUGUUCUUUCUUUCUAAUUCUUACCCUAUCUUUGAAAAUAAGAUUUUUGAAAAGUAUAUUUUUAUGAGAAAGUUUUUUUUUUAUAAUGUUUUAUUGUUUGAUAAAGUUUUUUUAAGAUAUUAGGACAUUUAUAUAUUUGGGUGAAUGUAUUGUUUUUGUCAAAAUUUAAAAGCCUUAAUUUAUAUUUUGAAGGAAGUGAACUUUUAAAACUUUUUUUAAAGUGUUUCAAAACUUUCAAAUUUAUUUUCAACACAACAAUUAGAUUUUUUCUUAAAAAUUUUUACAUAUUUUUAUAAAAUUAAUAUUUUUUAAAAUAAAAAAUAUUCUUUCUUAUCUCAUAAUUUUUUAUUUAUUAUAUAAUUUUUUUAUUAAUUUUUUAAUUAUACCCAUUUUAAAUGCAUUGAAUUUUACUAAAUGUUAAUAUGAAUUUUAAGAAAUUUUUUAAAAAUAAAAUAAAAUAAAAUAUAGUUAUAACAGUUAAACUAUAUAUUAUUAUAUUUUUUAAAAUAAUAAUAAUAAUGAGAUAAUAAAAAUAAAUAAAUUAAAAUUAUAAAAAUAAAAUACUAAACUUAAAAAAUCAUGAAUAAUUUUACUUGAAAAACCUUUCUUUUUAACUCAACCUUCUCCCAAACUAAAUAGUUCUCUUUUUCAACCCAUCAGAAUUAUAUUCUUCCCACUAAUUUGAAGAUUUUCAAACCUCGAAAUUUAAUUUUGGAAUCCACCAAUUAAGUUUUUCUACCUUAAAAACCUUUAAAUAAAUAUUUAAAAAAUAUUCUUAUCAAAUAAUUAAAAAUUAUUAAUUAUUAAAAUUAAAAAUUCAUGAAAACUGUUACAAGCUAAACUUUUUUUUAAAACUUACUUUAAAAACCCUUAAUUUACAAUUAAUUUUGUGGAAGGUUAUAAAACUUUUAGAAACCUUAUUUUCAUGCUAUCUUCCAAGCAUAAUUUUAAGUUAUUAAACCUUUCAUUAAGGUAAAAAAACCUAAGAAAGGUUAAAUAUUGAAUUUUCAAAGUAGACCUUCUUUUUUUAUCGUUUUAGAGAAUUUUUACUUUGAAAUUUUGAUGCUAUCUCAAAUACAAUUUGAAGAAAGCAUUUUAGUUCAAAACAUACUUCUGUGGAAUCUAUUCAGAUUUUAAAUUUGAUUUCGAUCACACAAGUCCAACUUCAAAUUAGAAUCAAACCGUGCAUGUUUUUAGUGGCCAAACAUUUCGUGGAAAGUUCCUUCGUCCAUAAUAUUAACAGUUUCUUUUAAAUUGACGACUGCUUUCCUUCAAUCUCAUCCCCGUGCUUCCGAGAGCCAGUGAGCCAACGAGAUAAAAUUCGAUUCCACUUCCCGAAUAGCGUCCAUUGCAGAAGUAACUUCUCUAUUGGAGCUUUAAGUUUAUAUUUGGAUAUAAAAAUUAAAUUAAAAAAAAAUAACAUAAAAUUAAUUGAAGAUAUCAGACAUAGCUUUCUAGGCUGCAAAUAUGCAUCAAAUUAGCCAGCUGUUAAAAGCUUGCUCAGAGCCCAGUGCAUGUUCAUCAUCUACACACUUAUCUCUAUAUGAAACCUCUUAAAUCAUUAGACACAUAAUAAAUAACUAAUGGGGUCCUCAGUAAUUAAGCUUGUAAUUUUCAUCAAAUUACAUGAAUUCAGGUCUCAAAGAUUCCAUGCCAUCAUCGGAGCCCCAUUCUCCAACAAAAUAAAAUAAAGUUGCUAAAAAGAAGAAACAACUGAGGAAAAAAUCUUGCAGGAUUUUAUUCACUGCGCCUGUGGAUUACUAUGGCGAAGUGACUCAACACCUGCAUCAAAUCUUAGCCUCUUCUUAAAAAUAUAAAAAGUAAGAAGAAACCCCAAAAACACUGAAAUUGGAUCAAAGGUUCCUGCUAAGAGGCAUCCCUAGCCAUUUUUAAACAAAUAACCAAUAACGCAGGAGAAAGAAAAUAAACAAUAGAGAAGAAAUAUAAGCAAAAGGAAGAUUCUCCAAUUUCUGCUAUAAGCUUCGCCUUCUGUGUGAUCGAGGAAAGAUGAACGGUGAGAAGCUUUAUAUACUGGAAGGAGUUGUAGAGCUAGUAGGGUUUUGCUUUCGUCCUUCCAAAUUACUAAAAAGUCCUCCCCCUUGUGAUGGAUAUUACAAGACAGCCCAACCCACCAGUGGUGAGUCAAAUUCUAUUUCAAAUCCAG
rnacentral:lncRNA from 1 species